rnacentral:rRNA from 1 species
CCUACGGGGUGCAGCAGUGGGGAAUAUUGCACAAUGGACGAGAGUCUGAACCAGCCAAGUAGCGUGAAGGAUGACUGCCCUAUGGGUUGUAAACUUCUUUUAUAUGGGAAUAAAACGUUCCACGUGUGGGAUUUUGUAUGUACCAUAUGAAUAAGGAUCGGCUAACUCCGUGCCAGCAGCCGCGGUAAUACGGAGGAUCCGAGCGUUAUCCGGAUUUAUUGGGUUUAAAGGGAGCGUAGGUGGAUUGUUAAGUCAGUUGUGAAAGUUUGCGGCUCAACCGUAAAAUUGCAGUUGAAACUGGCAGUCUUGAGUACAGUAGAGGUGGGCGGAAUUCGUGGUGUAGCGGUGAAAUGCUUAGAUAUCACGAAGAACUCCGAUUGCGAAGGCAGUUCACUGGACUGCAACUGACACUGAGGCUCGAAAGUGUGGGUAUCAAACAGGAUUAGAUACCCGGGUAGUC